rnacentral:rRNA from 1 species
AACGCGAAGAACCUUACCUGGUCUUGACAUCCACAGAACUUUCCAGAGAUGGAUUGGUGCCUUCGGGAACUGUGAGACAGGUGCUGCAUGGCUGUCGUCAGCUCGUGUUGUGAAAUGUUGGGUUAAGUCCCGCAACGAGCGCAACCCUUAUCUUUUGUUGCCAGCGGUCCGGCCGGGAACUCAAAGGAGACUGCCAGUGAUAAACUGGAGGAAGGUGGGGAUGACGUCAAGUCAUCAUGGCCCUUACGACCAGGGCUACACACGUGCUACAAUGGCGCAUACAAAGAGAAGCGACCUCGCGAGAGCAAGCGGACCUCAUAAAGUGCGUCGUAGUCCGGAUUGGAGUCUGCAACUCGACUCCAUGAAGUCGGAAUCGCUAGUAAUCGUGGAUCAGAAUGCCACGGUGAAUACGUUCCCGGGCCUUGUACACACCGCCCG